rnacentral:rRNA from 1 species
UACGGAGGAGGCAAACGUUGUUCGGAAUUAUUGGGCUUAAAGCGCGUGUAGGCGGCCUGUUAAGCGUCUUGUGAAAUCCCCCGGCUCAACCGGGGAAUGGCUCGGCGAACUGGCGGGCUUGAGGCAGGUAGGGGCAACUGGAACUCCAGGUGGAGCGGUGAAAUGCGUAGAUAUCUGGAGGAACGCCCGUGGCGAAAGCGGGUUGCUGGGCCUGCCCUGACGCUGAGACGCGAAAGCGUGGGGAGCAAACGGG